AUUUGUUACUGGAACAUCAAAGGUAAUUUGUUGAGCUAUGCACCUUACUAGUCUAGGGGUUUUCAUGGGUCCAGUUAGAUUUAUUGAGGUAUAUUUGCUUGACUGGACAGCUUUUAUUAUUAUUAGUAUUUAUGUCCCUGAUCGACUUUAAAAGAAAAUUGCUAACCCAACAUAAUCAAGUUCAUUGGUUUAUUAAUAAUUUCGAGUUGGGAAUUUGAACCUGAAAUAGCAAUCAGGUAUCUUCAUCAUAAAGAAGGCCAAAUAUAACUAAAAUUUAAAAGCCAAAUUAACAAAUCAAGAACAUUAUCACGAGGAAAAAUCAAUUUCAUAAAUUGAAGGUGUGCAAAUUGAGCUUGCAAUCAAUAUCUCUUAUAGAUAUGCAUUUUAUGAAGGGGAAGAACUGUAGAAGACAGAAGUGAGAGAUGAAAUGGAAAAAUGGGAAAGAAAAUGUAUGGGCCAACUAGCCAUGGUAUUUCAGUGUAA
rnacentral:misc_RNA from 1 species